rnacentral:rRNA from 1 species
GAUGAACGCUGGCGGCGUGCCUAAUACAUGCAAGUCGAGCGAACGGACGAGAAGCUUGCUUCUCUGAUGUUAGCGGCGGACGGGUGAGUAACACGUGGAUAACCUACCUAUAAUACUGGGAUAACUUCGGGAAACCGGAGCUAAUACCGGAUAAUAUUUUGAACCGCAUGGUUCAAAAGUGAAAGACGGUCUUGCUGUCACUUAUAGAUGGAUCCGCGCUGCAUUAGCUAGUUGGUAAGGUAACGGCUUACCAAGGCAACGAUGCAUAGCCGACCUGAGAGGGUGAUCGGCCACACUGGAACUGAGACACGGUCCAGACUCCUACGGGAGGCAGCAGUAGGGAAUCUUCGGCAAUGGGCGAAAGCCUGACGGAGCAACGCCGCGUGAGUGAUGAAGGUCUUCGGAUCGUAAAACUCUGUUAUUAGGGAAGAACAUAUGUGUAAGUAACUGUGCACAUCUUGACGGUACCUAAUCAGAAAGCCACGGCUAACUACGUG